UUUUUUUUAUCAGAAACGAAGAAAAAUAUAUUAAAAGAAGAAAAGAUACAAGAGAAGGAAGAGAUACAAGAGAAAGAGAAGAAACAAGAGAAGGAUCAAAGGUCCUUCCCACAUAAACAAAAACUGAAACAAAAGAGAAAACAUCCAACUUUAGAAAACUAAAUACAAAGAAAAACUCCAACACUCUCAAACUUUUGAAACACAAACCGCAGUCCAGUUGAGUUGUAAAACACUAA
rnacentral:lncRNA from 1 species